GUCCUAGCCCUAAACGAUGCUCAUUAGAUGUGGGAGGUAUCGACCCCUUCCGCGUCGUAGCUAACGCAUUAAAUGAGCCCGCCUGGGGGAGUACGGCCGCAAGGUUGAAACUCAAAGGAAUUGACGGGGGCCCGCACAAGCGGUGGAGCAUGUGGUUUAAUUCGACGCAACGCGAAGAACCUUACCUGGGCUUGAACUACUCGUGGUAGUUCGCUGGAAACAGUGGACGACCCGCAAGGGAGCGAGCAGAGGUGCUGCAUGGUUGUCGU
rnacentral:rRNA from 1 species